rnacentral:rRNA from 1 species
AGUGAACGCUGGCGGUAGGCCUAACACAUGCAAGUCGAACGGCAGCACAGUAAGAGCUUGCUCUUACGGGUGGCGAGUGGCGGACGGGUGAGGUAUACAUCGGAAUCUACUUUUUCGUGGGGGAUAACGUAGGGAAACUUACGCUAAUACCGCAUACGACCUACGGGUGAAAGCAGGGGAUCUUCGGACCUUGCGCGAUUGAAUGAGCCGAUGUCGGAUUAGCUAGUUGGCGGGGUAAAGGCCCACCAAGGCGACGAUCCGUAGCUGGUCUGAGAGGAUGAUCAGCCACACUGGAGCUGAGACACGGUCCAGACUCCUACGGGAGGCAGCAGUGGGGAAUAUUGGACAAAGGGCGCAAGCCUGAUCCAGCCAUACCGCGUGGGUGAAGAAGGCCUUCGGGUUGUAAAGCCCUUUUGUUGGGAAAGAAAAGCAGCAGGUUAAUACCCCGCUGUUCUGACGGUACCCAAAGAAGAAGCACCGGCUAACUUCGUG